ACUGAAACACCUGUUCCCGUACAAUCACCGAAGUUAAGCAACGUCGAGCGCGGCUAGUACCUUGAUGGGUUACUGU